ACUAUGCCUAGCCCUAAACCUCAGUAGUUGAGCAACAAAACUACUCGCCAGAAUACUACAAGCAACAGCUUGAAACUCAAAGGACUUGACGGUGCUUUACACCCCCUAGAGGAGCCUGUUCCAUAAUCGAUAAACCCCGAUCCACCCUACCCUCUCUUGCUCAGCCUAUAUACCGCCAUCUUCAGCAAACCCUGAUGAAGGCCACAAAGUGAGCGCAAAUGCCCACACCGCAAAAACGUUAGGUCAAGGUGUAGCCCAUGAGACGGUAAAAAAUGGGCUACAUUUUCUGCCUCAGAAUACCCCACGAAAACUCUUAUGAAACCUAAGAGUCCAAGGAGGAUUUAGCAGUAAAUUAAGAAUAGAGUGCUUAAUUGAACCAGGCCAUAAAGCGCGCACACACCGCCCGUCACUCCCCUCAAAUAUAUUUAAGGAAUAUCCUAACUAAACACUCCAAUAUUUAUAUAGAGGGGAUAAGUCGUAACAUGGUAAGUGUACUGGAAGGUGCGCUUGGAUAAAU
rnacentral:rRNA from 1 species